CUGCCGCCGCUGCAGCCUUGCGCUCCCUACGGUCGUUACCGUAGGCUCGCGGCCGCAGCGCCUAGCGCUGGUACAGCCACUGCGGCCGGCUCGCGGGGCCGGCAGCUGGGGGGGCCGCCGGCAUGUCCACGGCUGCCGCCCGCGCCCCUCACAGAGGCUGGACCCUUGGACGCAUAGACAUGGGCCUCAGAAGUAACCUCCAGACCACUUGGCUGCCGUGCAGCAUUGAAGGUCCGCAGCCUCAGCCUAGCAGGUGGUGCCCGCGGACAGCUGGUUGAAAGAUGCACAAUGAAUGAAAGCCAAGAGGCAGAGUUAGUGAGACAGAGCAGAGAGAAAGGUCUUCCUUCCGUUGGUUUACCCCACAAAUGGCCACUAUGCCUGGUGCGCUGCGCCGAUCUGAACCCAGAAGCCAGGUGCUUCUUCCUGAUCUCCCAUGGGAGUGCAGGGCCCAAGGACCUGGGCCAUCCUCCACUGCCUUCCCGGGCCACAGCAGAGAGCUUGACUGGAAGAGGAACAACCGGGACAGAAUCCGGCGCCCCAACCGGACUAAAACCUGGGUGCCAGAGCCACAGGCAGAGGAUUAGCCUGUUGAGCCGCGGAGCUGGUCUGUAUGUUUUCUUAUUGUCGAGUUCUAAAAGUUAUUUGAGUAAUUCGGGUGAGUCUUUUAUUACAUAUGUCAUAAUUAUGUUCAUCCAGUCUUCAGUUUGUCAUUUUAGUCUUUUAACAGAGUCUCUCACAGAACAGAAAUUUUUAGUGUUAAUCAAAUUUGAUUUAUUAUUUCUUUUAUAGUUCGUGACUUUGGUGUUGUGUCUAACGGAUUUCCACUCCCAAGGUGGUCAUCUAUGUUUUCUCCUUUAUUAUAGUCUAGGAAUUUUAUAGUUUUGUGUUUUACAGUUCAUUUUUUGAUGGGAGUAAAGUUUGUAUCUAGAUUCAUUUUAUUCUUUAGGUUCAGCAUCAUUUGUUGAAAAGUCCAUCUUUCCUUCAUUGUAUUGCCUUUGCUCAAAAUCAAUUGUAUAUUAUGUGAAUAGGGUGUAUAUGUCUGUCUGUUUGUGGGAGCAGGUGUCUGUGUGUAUGUUUGUUUCCAGGAGUAUCUACACAUGUGGAUGUAUCUGUUUCUGGAAUUGUGCUUGUGUGUGUAUAGAAUCAUGUGUGUAUGUGUGUGUAUGUCUGCAGUCUCUUUUGUUCACUGAUCUAUUCCUCUAUUCUUUUACCAGUAUCACAUUAUCUGAAUUUUAAAAAUUUAUUAUUUGAAAGAAUGACAGAGAGACAGAGACAGACAGAGAGAGAGAGAGGGAGUGAGAGUGAGAGGGGACAGGAAAGGGAUGGGGAGAGAGUUUUUCCAUCUUCUUAUUCACUCCCCAAAUAGCCACGAUAGCUGUGGCUGUGUCAGACUGAAUUCAGGAGCCUGAAACUCUAUCCUGGUCUCCUACAAGAGUGGCAGGGGCCCAAGUACUUGGAUCAUCUUUGCUGCUUUCUCAGGCACAUUAAUAGGGAGCUAGAUCAGAAGUGGAGCAACUUGAACUCUGCUUCGUUAUGGGAUGCCAGCAUCACAACAUCUGCUCCGUUAUGGGUUGCCAACAACCCUCUGCACCAUCAUGACUGGCCUGAGAUUUACAGGUUGUUUUGUUUUGUUCUGUUCUGCUUUGUUUUAUGGUUAUUGAGAGGCAGAGAGAAGGAGACAGAGAAAGAGAAAGGGAGAAAGAUCAAAGUGAUUCUUGAUACAGUUGAAUUAAUAUAAGGAGACUUUAAAAAGUACAUAACAAUAGAAUUUAAAAAGUGUAUUUUGGGGGCCGGCACUGUGGUGUAGUGGGUAAGGCUGCCACCUGCAGUGCUGGCAUCCCAUCUGGGUGCCAGUUCGAGUCCUGGCUGCUCCACUUCCAAUCCAGCUCUGCUAUGACCUGGGAAAGCAGUAGAGGAUGGCCCAAGUCCUUGGGCCCCUCCACCCAUGUGGGAGACCUGGAGGAAGCUCCUGGCUCCUAGCUUCAGAAUGGCACAGUUCUGGCCAUUGUGGCCAAUUAGGGAGUGAACCAGCGGAUGGAAGACCUCUCUCUCUCUCUCUCCCUCUCUCUCUCCCUCCCUCUCUCUCUCUCUGCCUCUCCUUCUCUCUCUCUGUAACUCUGACUUUUAAAUAGAUAAGAUAAAAUCUUUUUUUAAAAAGUAUAUUUUGUUGAAAAAAUUUUUGAAAUCCAUGUAUAUUUUUUUCAAAAUAUAUAUUUGCAUUAAAAUGUUCACGACUGGUCAUAUGUAUGAUUUAACAAUUAUGUUCUUCAUUUUUGAUAUCCUUGGUUUCUUUUGUAAAUCUAAGUUUCUGAAUUAUAUCAACUUCUUUCUCCAUAAGGAACUUGUUUGUGUGGUUUUUUUCCUUCUGAAGAACCUUCAUACUAUUUUCCAAAAUGGAUAUACUAACUUAUUUUCCUAUUAACAAUGUAUAAUGGUUCCCUUUAAAAUAGAAUUACUAUAUGGUUCAGCAAUCUCACUUCUUGGUAUAUAUCUGAAGAAAUUAAAAUCAGUUUGUCAAAGAGAUACCUGCACUCCUGUGUUUGUUUCAUAUCACUUACAAUAUCCAAGAUAUGGAAGCAACCUAAAUGUUCAUCAGUGUAUAAAUAUAUAAAGAAAAUGAGGUAUAAUAUACAUACACACGAUGAAAUACCAUACAACAUUUUAAAAGAAGCAAAUUGUGUGAUUUGUGAUAAUGUGGAUAGAACUGGAGGAAAUUUUGCUAAUUCAGAUACACCAAGCACACAAAGACAAACAUUGUGUAAUUUCUCCCAUAUGUGGAAUCUAAAAAGGUUGGUGUUAUAGAAACAGACUGGAAAGGUGAUUACCAGAAGUAGGGGAAGAGGAGUGGUGGGGUAAGUGGAAGAUGUUGAUAAAAUGAUACAAAGUCUUAGUUCAGCUGUGGAAAUAAAUUUCCCACUGGGUGGUGACCUCUGAAAGCAAUAAUGUAUUAUGUAUUUCAACACUGCCAAAAGACUAGGUUAUUAAUGCUCUUACCACAAAAAAAGCUAAGUUGGUGAGGUGAUAGAUAUGUUCAUUAGCUUGAUGGAAUUUUUCUUCAAUGUCUACAUGGAUCAGAGCAUCAGAUUUUAUCCUGUACAUAUAAACAAUUGUUAUUUGUAGUUCAAAACAAAAUUUAAAGUAGGAAAAAUAAAAAUAGGCUGGCACCACGGCUCAAUAGGCUAAUCCUCCACCUUGCAGUGCCGGCACACUGGGUUCUAGUCCCAGUUGGGGCGCCGGAUUCUGUCCCAGUCGCUCCUCUUCCAGUCCAGCUCUCUGCUAUGGCCCGGGAGUGCAGUGGAGGAUGGCCCAAGUGCUUGGGCUCUGCACCUGCAUGGGAGACCAGGAGAAGCACCUGGCUCCUGGCUUUGGAUCAGUGCAAUGCGCCAGAUGCAGCGUGCUGGCCGCAGCGGCCAUUGGAGGGUGAACCAACAGAAAAAGAAGACCUCUCUGUGUAUCUCUCUCUCUCUGUCCACUCUGCCUGUCAAAAAUAAAAAUAUAUAUAUAUAUAUAUAUUCCUUAAGUACUUCUUGCAAGUCUGUUCUACUGGUAACAGAUUCUCUCAAAUUUUGUUUGGGAAAGUUUCUGUAUUUUCUUCACUUUUGCAGAGUUCAAAAUUCUGGAUUGGUGAUUCUCUACUCUCAGCCUCUGAAAUAUUUCACUCUACUUUUUUGUUGCUUGCAUGGUUUCUGAAAAGAAGUCAUAUGUAGGUUUUACUUUUGUUCUUCUCUGUAUAAAGGCUUUCUUUCCUGCUUUGACUUCCUAUAACAUUUUAAAAAAUCAUCAAUUUUCUGUAGUUUGAAAAUGAUGGACCUACCUGAUGUUUUGUUUUCAUUUUGAAUUUUUCUUAUUUAAUAUUGUGUACACUUCCUAGGUUUGUGGUUUGGUAUCAGACAUUGAUUUGGGCACAUUCACAGUCAGUAUUGUUUCAAACAUUUAUUUUGUUUCUUUCUUUCUUCUCUGUUUGAUAUUCCCUUUAUGUGUUUCAACUUUUGUAGUUGUCCCACACACAGUUCUUAAAUAUUCUGUUUUGUUAUUGCCAUCUUUUUUUCUCUGUUUUAUGAAUUUUUAAGGGUUCUGUUGAGACAUCUUCAAGCUCACAUGUAACUUCUUUUCUCAACUGUGUUGUCUAAUAAUGAGCCCAUCAAAGGCAUUCUUCAUUUCUGUUCUUAGAAUUACAUCUCUCUUUUCAUAUUGGUCUUCUGUUUUUUUUUAAUGUAUAUUUUUAUUUAUUUUCAUCUACUUGAAAGAUAGAAUGACAGAGAGAAUGUGUGUGUGUGUGUGUGUGUGCAUGUGUGAAAGAGAGAGAAUCUCUUCCAUGUGCUGAUUUAUAUAUCAAAUUCCUGCAACAAACAGGCUGAGUCAAUCCAAGGCCAGGAGCCCAGAACCCAAUCAGGUUCUCUCACAUAGGUAGCAGAGACACAAGCACCUUAGCCAUUAUCUGCUGCCUGCCAGAAUGUGUUAGCAAGAAGGUGGAUUGGAAGCCCAGGAGCCAGUACUCAAACUACGCACUUCCAUAUGGGGUGUGAACAUUGCAAAUGGAGGCUCAAACCAACGUGCCACAACACUGCCCCCUGGUCAUCUGUUCUUAUUUACUAUCAACUUUAUCAAUUACAGUCCUCAGCAUAUCAAGCAUAGCUGUUUUAAAUGCCUAGGCUGAUAAUUCCAACACCCCUUCCAUAACUGAAUUGAUUCUGAUGCCUGCUGUGUCUUUUCCACGUGUGUGUUUUUGCCUAGUAGUGUGCCUUGUAAUUUUUCCUGAUAGCUGGACACGAUGUCCUGGCUAAAGUAAACUGCUGUACACAGGCAUUGAGUAAUGUGGUGGAGGUGAGGUGCGAAGGAAAAGAAAGCAUGCUGUCAUUAGUUCUCAGUCCUUGACUAAGCCUGUGCCUCGGCUCCGUGAAUGUCACGCUUGUUUCUUAGCGUUUCCAACUCCUUCAGGUGGGACAGGAUGGCAGCAGGGGCCUGGAGCUGGGUAUGCCACAUCCCCCAGGUCAUUUAGGCUGUGGUAACCCUGGAAUAGGUGAGGCCUUGGUUAAAUAUGCUCUUCUGAAGGCAGACACUGUUAAAGCAGAACAAAAUGCUCUAGUGUACUUGGUUCCUUUUCUCCGGUAGUCACUGGGAGAACUUAGUAGCAGAGGUCCCACAGGGACACGGUUUCCCCUGGAGUGUUUCACCCUGAGCUGUUCACACAGAGCCACCAGUGAUUUGUUCAGGCCCUGAUUUCUGUGAAGGCUUCUGCUGGCGACUUCCUGCUCUGGUGAGUUGACAGGUUCUGUAUCCACCUGUCUUCCUCUGCAGUGUGGGAGUCUGCCCCUUGCCCCUUGAUCUCACUUCUCUUGGAGAUUCAAAAUGACUUUUUGCUUUUUCAGUUGGUUGAGAUUUUUCCACAUGGCUGGGAUGGAGUUGUGACUUUCAAGCACACUUUAUAGGCCCUAGGUGUUUUUAAAGUUUCUGUGGAUGCUUUGUAUACAGACUAACCCAUAGUCAAAAACUCAACCUGUUCUUUCUUCUCAUGCUCGCUGGCAGCCUCUUGCGGGUCACCGAGAGUUUUGGUAGUGGCCCUCGCUUAGGGCUUCCUUUCCUGGCUGUUCUGUCUCAUUCUGCCACUACUUGGAGGUCUCCUACUUUUACUCUUCAACCUCCCCCAGGAAUUGUGAGUAUUUUUCAGUGCUGCCCAUGAAGCCACAUUGCACACUCAACCUAACUUUAACCAAGAUCGAGUGGAAAUGAACCUUCCAGCUCCAUAUGUCUUUUUCCCUGGGUCAGAAGUGACUAGAUAAAUAUCAUUAAAAGGAAAGGAAGUUAUAAAAUAACGCAUUUGUGGGUUUAGUCCUUAUCUACCUUGCUUGGUUUAUAAAAUUACCUAUGUUUUCUCAUUAUAGAAGAAAUAUGUGUUGUAGGAAAUUUGGCAAAAGAAAGAAAUCCAAUGAAAGAAGGUAUAAUUACUAUUAUCCUCUAUACAAAGGCAACAUUUGCUUAUAUUUUGUUUUAUUUUCUUCCUUUUUUAUACACUCACAUCACACAUACAAGUGUACAUAAUUUAUCUGUUUAAAACUUAUAUAAUGCUAAUUUUCCUUCUAUAUAGUACAUUUACUAGAUGCUCUGCCAAGAAUUUUAUGUGCAUUAUUGCAUUUAAUCUUCAUUAUAACCCUAUAUGUAUAGCCUAUAUUAUUUUGUACUGCAGCUAAUAAAAUAAGACCUUGAGAAUGAAGUUAUUUGACCAGGAUAAAUAGGGAUAAAAAUACAAAUGGACAAGAAUCUACAGUAUUAAUUUUUUGCUAGUUUGGUGACCAUACUGCUCUUUUAAUAUUAGACUUUGCUAUUUAAAUUGGAUUUAUUAGUGAUUAAUGCAUUAGAUUUUUAAAAACUUCUUACAUUAUUAACUUUGGAAGAAAUAAUUUGCUGAGAAUUAAUUGUAGUUCAAAAUAUGUAAAUUUAAAUUUCUUAGCAGAGUAUAUUGCAUCCCAUAAAAUAGGUCAGAAAAUUACUACCUGUGUGAAAUGACACAAACAGAGCUUCACUCUUUUCAUUAUCCUGUUUUCAUUCCUUCUUUUUUUAAAGAUUUAUUUAUUUAUUUGAAAGGCAGAGGCAGAGAGAGAGAGGGCUUCCAUCUGCUGCUUCACUCCCCAGUCGGCCGUAAUGGCCAGAGCUCUGCCAAUCCGAAACCAGGAGCCAAGAGCUUCUUCCAGGUCUCCCACGCUGUUGCAGGGGCCCAAAGACUUGGGCCGUCUUCUACUGCUUUCCCAGUCCAUGGCAGAGAGCUGGAUUGGAAGUGGAGCAGCUGGGACUCUAACCAGUGCCCAUAUGGGAUGCUGGCACUUCAGAUGGCAGCUUAAUCUGCUGCACCACAGUGCUGGCCCUGGAUAUAUUUUUCUUAUUUCAGUGACUUAAGUCUAAUAAAAUAAUACUCUUCUAUGAUAUAAUCAGAAAUGCUACCAAAUCUCCAUUUAAAAUAUUUGUCAGAAAAUAUUUAUCAUUAUACACAUGCAUUUUUAUGAUCUAAUUUUCCAAAUAAUGUUUCAGUGACUUCCACAUUUUUAAGCGAUAUAUAAUUCUUGACAUUUUAGGAAUGUCUGUGCUGUUUCUGAGCAUACAAAUUGUAUCGAUUUUAUAUAGAUGAGCUUCAGGGGGCACUGCUGCAGAAUUUCUUCCAACUCUUGGGAUUCAUUUCCCAUGAAAUGUCAACAUUGCUGCUUUUUACAGAGAAAGGAGAACACAUUAGCAUCCAAAGGGUAUUCUUACAGUACCUGAUUUCCAAUGCUGAAUAACAAGGUUAAUUUAGACUCACAAGAUUUUCUGCUCUAAGGAAUAUCAGGUAUCAUUUCAACUCCUUCAUUCUGUGGAUGACUAAAUGGAGAUGAUAGUUUGCCCAAGGUCACCAGCUAGAGGGAAAGCAUCUUGCCUAGGAGCAAGCGAGUCUUCUGCAAUAUCUUAAAAUAGAAGGCAUCUAUUUAUUCCCUUAUUCCUCAGUUUUUUUAAUUUAGAGAGAAUUUCUGGAAGAUUGAGAACUCUAAUCUCCCUGAUCUCUGAAAUGCAAUUUCCCACCCUACCCUACCCUCUACAGCAACU